AGCUACAUUUUGUACAAGCAAAGAAGAUGUGGUCCAAGUUGCCCUCAUCCAACCCACAUUCACACAAUGAGUUCGCACGGACACCAAUCAUAGCCAGAAAUAACGGAGUACAUACUUUGCCUAAGCGUAAACGGCAAAUGGUGGAUAUUACCCACUUUGGAGAAGUACGGAAUCGAUAGAACCAUGGUUUUCGAGUAAUUCGAGGUUGUACACAGCCAUAAUGUUUACCAGUCUCCAAUCUAGAGAUAUCCCAUUGCCUCUGCCAUGUAUUAAACAUAUCAGAUAGUGCACAACUCAACAGCCUCAAGAAUAGCAACUGCCUCACCUGUGAAAAUGGACGCUUGAGGAGGACAUUUAAAUGGAAGGACGAUAUUGUACCGUGGAAUCCACACCGCUGCUCCCACACAUCUUGCAGGAUCCACCUUAGAAGCGUCAGUAAAAACCGUGACCUCCAGUGCCAGCGCCUGCAAGCGUGGGAGCAGCAAGUGGUUGUUGUAAGAGCUGGCUUUGAUCAAGAACCUGUCGGCGAGGUAUUGUCUGCGUAGAGCCAACGGCGGUUCAACACCUUCCACCUGCAUGCCAUUUUUGGGAGAGGGAAGCAUAGCACCUAGUAUGAUCCUUAAACAUUUAGCCUGUAUAAGAUCUAAUUUAUCUAGACCAUCCUUAUUACAGGGUUCCAUUAAAAAUGCCCCAUAGUCUAUAUGGCUACGUAUGAUGGCAUUGUAUAGUAGCUUCUGGCAAUAAGGAUGGGAACCCCACCAGACACCCGACAAUGCUCGAAGAAUAUUAAUAUUUUUCUCACAUUUACCCAGUACAUAUUUGUGGUGUGAGGUGCCAGACAUUUUAUGAUCUAAAAUAACACCUAGAAAUUUUACUGACUCUUUAUUUGGAAUCAUCACACCACCAUAACGGACAUCUGCGUCAGGCAUGGUCCUUCUGCGACUGAAAGUCACUACACAGCUUUUUGUUGGCGAUAGGGUCAAACCAUGUUCAUCAAGCCAAUCCUUGAGGUAACCCAAAGCUGUAUUAAGACUAGCAGUGGCUUUGUCCAUUGACUUUGCUGAGGUGUAUAAGACUAGGUCAUCAGCAUACUGCAAGAUAUUACAGAAGGAUAGGACAGAUUGCUCCAAGUCGUAGGUGUAGAUACUGUAAAGCAGGGGGCUGAGUACCGAUCCUUGCGGGAGACCACGCCACAAAGUUCGAGGUGGGUAAUAGGAAUUACCAUUCCUAAUUUUAAUUGACCUACCCAUGAACAAUUUGGUGACAAUAUGUACAAUCUUCGCGGGAAUGCUCAGAUGUAGCAUUUUUGCCCUGAGCACCGGAAGAAGGACAUUGUCGUAGGCCGCAGAGAUAUCUAGAAAACAUCCCAGCAGAUAUUCGUUUUUUGAAAGGGUUAGUCGGAUAUCAGUUGCUAAGAUAUUUAAGCUGUCCAUUGUACUACGACCCUUUCGGAAGCCAAACUGCGUGUCAGCUAGAAUACCCUUGUUUUCCACAAACCAUUCCAAUCUAUUUUUAACCAGAUGCUCUAAUAUCUUUCCCAUUGUCGCGGAAAGAGCAAUCGGGCGAUAUGAGCUAGCUUCGUCUGGGUUUUUAGACGGUUUUAGGAUUGGGAUAAUAACUUGGGUCUUCCAGUCAACUGGGAUCUCUCCCGUGUCAAAGGCAUGGUUUAGAAUACCGAGCAGAUACUCCUGUGAAGAUGAAUUGAGCUUAGACAGGAAACAGUAUGGUAUGCCAUCCUCUCCAGAGGUUCAGGGGACGGAAUUGGAAGAAUAGAAGAAGGCUUCGUGAUAAUAAUUGGGAAAUGGUCACUGCCGAACGACUGGCGUAAUACCCUCCAGGAUAAUAAAGAAGACAAACUAGGAGAACACACAGAUAGAUCGAGGACUGACUGGGGGUUCUGUCCUGGGUAUACCCGAUGCGUGGGAGUACCGUCAUUAAUAACUCCCACAUUGAUUUCAUCGAAUAAAUCCAACAGGGCUGAUGAAAAUGCAUCCGAAUGGUAUGACCCCCAUGACAUAUUGUGACAAUUGAAGUCCCCUAAAAUCAUAAGAGGAGGUGGAACCGAUUUGAGAAUAGAUUUUAAUUCAUAUAUAUCAACUACUUCAGGAUGGGGAAUGUAUAUAGAGAUGAAAUUAAUGCCCAUAACCUUGGCAGCUACGGCAUUAAUCCCAUCCGAAUGAGGGGGAAUAGAAAUUUGGGCGAAAGGGUAACCGCGUUUGAUGAACAACGCACAUCCGGCGCGUCCAUCAUUGCGGUCUUCCCGGAGACAUGAGAAGCCCGGCACUCUGAAAAAGGAGCCUGGGCGUAACCAUGUCUCCGAAAUGGCCGCAACAGUCACAGCAUGAUUGUUGAUGAGCUGAAUAAGGUCAGGUUUCUUUGGUAUAAUGCUUCGACUAUUCCACUGAAGAAAUGUGACCGGGGGGGCCGUUAUGGAAUGUAAGUCUUUCCGCGAGUGUGAUCAUUAAGGGUGCAACGUCGUCUGGUACGCAAUCGCUCCACUUAGCGAUUAUGUUUGUCAAGAAUUUUAGACAGAGCUCCAUUAGGUCUUCAUUAGGAGUGAUUCUAUUGUAAGCAGAAGAAUCUUUCAGAGCUUGGCCAUUGGGCAGUUGAGGUGGGGGAGUUCGGACAAUAUUGUUGUGAGCUACUCUAUCAUAACCGGGGGAGAGGGAGACCCUCGUCCGGGGCGCUCGAUAUACGGUCUUACGAUAUGAAGUGGUGGGCGGAGGGGUUGGCAUGAAAGUAUCAGGGUGG